rnacentral:rRNA from 1 species
UGGGGAAUAUUGGACAAUGGGCGCAAGCCUGAUCCAGCCAUACCGCGUGGGUGAAGAAGGCCUUCGGGUUGUAAAGCCCUUUUGUUGGGAAAGAAAUCCUAUCGGUUAAUAACCGGUGGGGAUGACGGUACCCAAAGAAUAAGCACCGGCUAACUUCGUGCCAGCAGCCGCGGUAAUACGAAGGGUGCAAGCGUUACUCGGAAUUACUGGGCGUAAAGCGUGCGUAGGUGGUGGUUUAAGUCCGUUGUGAAAGCCCUGGGCUCAACCUGGGAAUUGCAGUGGAUACUGGAUCACUAGAGUGUGGUAGAGGGAUGCGGAAUUUCUGGUGUAGCAGUGAAAUGCGUAGAGAUCAGAAGGAACAUCCGUGGCGAAGGCGGCAUCCUGGGCCAACACUGACACUGAGGCACGAAAGCGUGGGGAGCAAACA